AAAGAUUAAGCCAUGCAUGUCUAAGUAUAAACGAUUUAAUCGUGAAACCGCGAAUGGCUCAUUAUAACAGCUAUAAUUUACUUGAUCUUGACACAAUCCUACUUGGAUAACUGUGGUAAUUCUAGAGCUAAUACAUGCAUUAAAGCUCUGACCUCACGGGAAGAGUGCAUUUAUUAGAACAAAACCAAGCGGCUUCGGCUGUUUCUGGUUGACUCAUAGUAACUGAGCUGAUCGCAUGGUCUUGCACCGGCGACGUGUCUUUCAAGUAUCUGCCGUAUCAACUUUCGAUGGUAGUGUAUCUGACUACCAUGGUGAUCACGCGUAACGGAGAAUAAGGGUUCGGCUCCGGAGAGUUCGCCUGAGAAAUCGCGAACACAUCUAAGGAAGGCAGCAGGCGCGAAAAUUACCCACUCUCAGCACGAGGAGGUAGUGACGAAAAAUAACGAGACCGUUCUCUUAUGAGGCCGGUCAUCGGAAUGGGUACAAUUUAAACCCUUUAACGAGUAUCUAUGAGAGGGCAAGUCUGGUGCCAGCAGCCGCGGUAAUUCCAGCUCUCAAAGUGCAUAGAAUUAUUGCUGCGGUUAAAAAGCUCGUAGUUGGAUCUGUGCCAUAGGACGUGGUCCACCUUCUGGGUGCGUACUAUGUUCCUAGGCUUUUUGCUGGUUUUCCCGUCGUAGCCUUCAUUGGUUGCGGCGGGUGGCUGGCGAGUUUACUUUGAGAAAAUCAGAGUGCUCAACACAGGCGUAUCGCUUGAAUGAUUGUGCAUGGAAUAAUAGAAAAGGAUUUCGGUCCUCUUUUAUUGGUUUUGUGGACUGAGAUAAUGGUUAACAGGGACAAACGGGGGCAUUCGUAUCUCUGCGUGAGAGGUGAAAUUCUUGGACCGUAGAGAGACGCCCUACUGCGAAAGCAUUUGCCAAGAAUG
rnacentral:rRNA from 1 species